rnacentral:rRNA from 1 species
GCUGGCGGCACGCCUUAUACAUGCAAGUCGAACGCAGUAGCAAUACUGAGUGGCAGACGGGUGAGUAUAAUGUGGGAAUCUGCCUUUUGGUUUGGAAUAACUCGGGGAAACUUGAGCUAAUACCGGAUAAGCCCUUACGGGGAAAGCUUUAUGCGCCGAAAGAUGAGCCCGCACUUGAUUAGCUUGUUGGUGAGGUAAUGGCUCACCAAGGCAACAAUCAAUAGCUGUUCUUAGAGGAAGACCAGCCACAUUGGGACUGAGACACGGCCCAGACUCCUACGGGAGGCAGCAGUAAGGAAUCUUGCACAAUGGGGGAAACCCUGAUGCAGCGAUGCCGCGUGAGUGAAGAAGGCCUUUGGGUUGUAAAACUCUUUCGUUGGGGAAGAAAAUGACUGUACCCAAAUAAGAAGGUCCGGCUAACUUCGUGCCAGCAGCCGCGGUAAUACGAAGGGACCUAGCGUAGUUCGGAAUUACUGGGCUUAAAGAGCUCGUAGGUGGUUAAAAAAGUUGAUGGUGAAAUCCCAAGGCUCAACCUUGGAACUGCCAUCAAAACUGUUUAGCUAGAGUGUGAUAGAGGAAAGUGGAAUUUCUAGUGUAGAGGUGAAAUUCGUAGAUAUUAGAAAGAACACCAAAAGCGAAGGCAACUUUCUGGAUCACUACUGACACUGAAGAGCGAAAGCAUGGGUAGCGAAGAGGAUUAGAUACCCUCGUAGUCCAUGCUGUAAACGAUGUGUGCUAGACGUUGGAAAUUUAUUUUUCAGUGUCGCAGCAAAAGCGUUAAGCACACCGCCUGGGGAGUACG